CAUGCAAGUCGUACGGGGAGCAAUCCUCGUGGCGCAAGGGUGAGUAUGCGACGGUAACCAACCCCAGGGCUGGCCAUAGCCGCGGGAAACCGCGGGUAAUAGCCAGCGAUGCAGCCGGCUGGCAUCGGCCGGCUGUCAAAGGUGUGACUCCGCCCUGGGACGGGCCGUCGUGGUAUUAGGUAGUUGGUGAGGUAACGGCUCACCAAGCCUUUGAUGCCUACCGGGCGUGCGAGCGUGGCCCGGCACACUGGGACUGAGACACUGCCCAGACUCCUACGGGAGGCUGCAGUCGAGAAUCUUCGGCAAUGGGCGCAAGCCUGACCGANCGACGCCGCGUGGAGGACGAAGGCCUUCGGGUUGUAAACUCCUGUCGAGGGGAAGGAAGGGGCGGCGCAAGAACCGUCCUUGACCGCUCCCUGGAGGAAGCACGGGCUAAGUUCGUGCCAGCAGC
rnacentral:rRNA from 1 species